rnacentral:sRNA from 1 species
AAAACAAAAACCAAAAACUCUUACAAAAUCUACAAAACAUUCAAGGCCAUAGUUUUUCUUGAGAUAAUUUGGUCCUCCCUCCUUUUUCUUCUUCUUUUUUU